AGGAACCGGAUGCGGGAAAUCUGCACGUCCGGAUCUGUGAGGGGCGGGGCUCGGUAACGACCCCGCCUACUCGGC
rfam:Shinella sp. DD12 SHLA_126c, whole genome shotgun sequence.